AGAGUUUGAUCCUGGCUCAGGACGAACGCUGGCGGCGUGCUUAACACAUGCAAGUCGAGCGGAAAGGCCUUUCGGGGUACUCGAGCGGCGAACGGGUGAGUAACACGUGGGCAACCUGCCCUCAGCUCUGGGAUAACUCCGGGAAACCGGGGCUAAUACCGGAUAUGACAUGUCUCCGCAUGGGGGUGUGUGGAAAGUUCUUCGGCUGGGGAUGGGCCCGCGGCCUAUCAGCUUGUUGGUGGGGUGAUGGCCUACCAAGGCGACGACGGGUAGCCGGCCUGAGAGGGCGACCGGCCACACUGGGACUGAGACACGGCCCAGACUCCUACGGGAGGCAGCAGUGGGGAAUAUUGCGCAAUGGGCGGAAGCCUGACGCAGCGACGCCGCGUGGGGGAUGAAGGCCUUCGGGUUGUAAACCUCUUUCAGCAGGGACGAAGCGGGAGUGACGGUACCUGCAGAAGAAGCACCGGCCAACUACGUGCCAGCAGCCGCGGUAAUACGUAGGGUGCAAGCGUUGUCCGGAAUUAUUGGGCGUAAAGAGCUCGUAGGCGGUCUGUCGCGUCGGCUGUGAAAACUCGGGGCUCAACUCCGAGCCUGCAGUCGAUACGGGCAGACUUGAGUGCUGUAGGGGGAGACUGGAAUUCCUGGUGUAGCGGUGAAAUGCGCAGAUAUCAGGAGGAACACCGGUGGCGAAGGCGGGUCUCUGGGCAGUAACUGACGCUGAGGAGCGAAAGCGUGGGGAGCGAACAGGAUUAGAUACCCUAGUAGUCC
rnacentral:rRNA from 1 species